rnacentral:rRNA from 1 species
GUCUAUGGCCAUGCCACCCUGAAUGAGCUGGAUCCCGUCUGACCUAGGAAGCUAAGCAGGGUUGGGCCUGAUUAGAACUUAGAUGGGAGACCACCUAGGAAGACCAGGAGCUGUAGGCA